AAAAAGAAAAAAAGAAACGGUACAGAGAUUAGCAUGGCCCCUGCACAAGGACGACACACAAAUUUGUGAAGCGUCCCAUAACAAC
rnacentral:snRNA from 1 species